rnacentral:lncRNA from 1 species
GCAAUAAGUGCAAUUUUUUCCCCAUCUUUUGUUGUGUUCAUUCAAUUAUUACAAAGUAUUAAUAUAACUUAAUAUUUAUACUAUACGUAAUUCAAAAAAUAAAUAAAUAAAUAAAUCCGGCCCGGCCCGGCCCGGACCGGAUCAACCCAACCCAAUUGCAACCCGCCCCCAAUUGAACCCGGACCGGACCGGCCCGGACCCGGAC